CAAGCAACAGCAUUUGUGUAGAUCUGUCUUUACCAAGAGAUCCUGAUAGUGUCUUUCAGGAAUAUGAAAGAGGACUUUUACCAACACUACAAAUAUUUCCAUUUUUAUUCAAUCUCCUUUGGUCUGGGAUGUGGAACAGCACUAUACAGGCCCUUCUGUUCACUUAUGGUUCCAUUAGUUCUUGGUGUGUUCUUCACCAUAGUGUUUGAGAUUGUGGGCAUAAUAUCUGAUUUGCCACCCCAUACUAGGAGAUGUAAAGGACCCCC